rnacentral:rRNA from 1 species
AUUUUGCGCAAUGGGCGAAAGCCUGACGCAGCAACGCCGCGUGAGUGAUGAAGGCCUUCGGGUUGUAAAGCUCUUUUGGUAGGGAAGAAAAAAAUGACGGUACCUACUGAAUCAGCACCGGCUAACUCUGUGCCAGCAGCCGCGGUAAUACAGAGGGUGCAAGCGUUAUUCGGAAUUAUUGGGCGUAAAGAGCACGUAGGUGGCUUGGUAAGUCUGGUGUGAAAUCCCUGAACUCAAUUCAGGAAGUGCAUUGGAUACUGCUAGGCUCGAGUAUGGGAGAGGAGAGCGGAAUUCCAGGUGUAGAGGUGAAAUUCGUAGAUAUCUGGAGGAACAACAGAGGCGAAGGCGGCUCUCUGGACCAUUACUGACACUGAGGUGCGAAAGCGUGGGGAGCAAAC